GACGAACGCUGGCGGCGUGCUUAACACAUGCAAGUCGAACGGUGAAGCGCCUUCCUUUUUGGUGGGUGUGGAUGAGUGGCGAACGGGUGAGUAACACGUGAGUAACCUGCCCCCUUCUUCUGGAUAACCGCAUGAAAGUGUGGCUAAUACGGGAUAUUCUGGGUCUGUCGCAUGAUGGGUCUGGGAAAGAUAUUGUUUCGGUGGGGGAUGGGCUCGCGGCCUAUCAGCUUGUUGGUGGGGUGAUGGCCUACCAAGGCGGUGACGGGUAGCCGGCCUGAGGGGGUGGACGGUCACACUGGGACUGAGACACGGCGCAGACUCCUACGGGAGGCAGCAGUGGGGAAUAUUGCACAAUGGGCGCAAGCCUGAUGCAGCGACGCCGCGUGAGGGAUGGAGGCCUUCGGGUUGUGAACCUCCUUCGCCAGUGAAGCAGGCCUGCCUCGUUUGUGGGUGGGUUGACGGUAGCUGGAUAAGAAGCGCCGGCUAACUACGUG
rnacentral:rRNA from 1 species